AAUCGUUAAAACUUUCAACAACGGAUCUCUUGGUUCUGGCAUCGAUGAAGAACGCAGCGAACUGCGAUAAGUAAUGUGAAUUGCAGAAUUCAGCGAACCAUCGAAUCUUUGAACGCACAUUGCGCCCGCCAGCAUUCUGGCGGGCAUGCCUGUCCGAGCGUCAUUUCCACCCUCACGCGCCCCGGCGCGUGGUGUUGGGGCAUGCUGCGGCGGCCGCGAGG
rnacentral:rRNA from 2 species